GGGGCGGGCUGCGCGGGAGAGUCCAUUCCACGCUGCGGGGAGGGGAGGCGAAACAGCCGUGUGGGGUACUUCUGGGCUCUGAGCAAGCUUUUGUGUCUUGGAAAUUCACCAGAUUUACAGCCAUCUGAAGAGUCCUCGUUGCUAUGGCAAUGCUGUCCUUCCACAAUGAAUCCUUCUUGAAGGAACUUCAGCUGCUUAUCAAAUGAGAUAAAGGGGCAUCUGCGAGCUUCAUUAAAAGAACAGAGAGGAGAAUGAGAUUUCAGCUCUUUGGUAAGAAGCCAGCAAUCUUCUGGAUGCACAGCUGAUGCUGAAUGCCCCCAGAUCCCCAACAC